rnacentral:rRNA from 1 species
AUGAGCUCCGGGAUGGGGAAGGUGGUGUGCGUCACCGGCGGCUUGGGCUACAUCGCCUCCUGGCUCGUCAAGCUCCUCCUCCACCGCGGCUACACCGUCUGUGCCACCGUCAGGGACACCGCCGACCCCAAGAAAACGUUGCACCUGCAGGCCCUGGAUGGAGCCAAGGAUAGGCUGCACUUGUUCAAAGCAAGCUUGUUAGAAGAAGGCUCCUUCGAUGCUGCCAUCGCGGGUUCUGACUGUGUGUUCCACACGGCUUCUCCCUUUUAUCACAAUGUCAAGGAUCCCAAGGCUGAGUUACUUGACCCAGCAGUCAAUGGAACACUCAAUGUUCUCCGUUCCUGCAAAAAAGCCUCAAUCAAGAGAGUGAUCAUAACGUCGUCCAUGGCUGCUGUUGCCUACAAUGGGAAGCCCAGAACACCUGAUGUAGUAGUUGAUGAGACAUGGUUUUCAAGUGCAGAGGUCUGUGAAAAGAAUGAGCAAUGGUAUGUGCUAUCCAAGACCCUUGCUGAGGAAGCUGCAUGGAAGUUUGCAAAUGAUAAUGGAUUUGAAAUAGUUACAAUAAACCCAGCUAUGGUCAUCGGUCCUCUGUUGCAGCCUACACUGAAUACUAGCGCAGAGGCAAUAUUGAAGUUUAUAAAUGGAUCAUCUUCUACAUACCCCAAUUUCAGCUUUGGAUGGAUAAAUGUUAAAGAUGUUGCCCUGGCACAUAUUCUUGCAUAUGAAGUUCCUUCAGCAAACGGAAGAUACUGUAUGGUUGAAAGAGUUGCUCACCACUCGGAGAUUGUCAAGAUCAUACAUGAAAUGUACCCCAACUUUCCAGUGCCAGAAAAGUGUGCAGAUGACGCACCAUUUGUCCCUAUCUACCAGGUAUCGAAGGACAAGAUAAGAAGUUUGGGCAUGGAGCUGAUUCCCCUGGAGACGAGCCUCAAGGAGACUAUUGAGAGCUUGAGAGAGAAAGGAUUUGUUACUUCUGAGUCGAGCCAUCUGUGA